AGCAGCCGCGGUAAUUCCAGCUCCAAUAGCGUAUAUUAAAGUUGUUGCAGUUAAAAAGCUCGUAGUUGAAUUUCGGGGUCAGUAGGUUGGUCGUGCCACCGGUACGUACUGGUCUCACUGAUUCCUCCUUCCUGAAGAACCGUAAUGCCAUUAAUUUGGUGUUGCGGGGAAACAGGACUGUUACUUUGAAAAAUUAGAGUGUUUAAAGCAGGCUAACGCUUGAAUACAUUAGCAUGGAAUAAUGAAAUAGGACGAUCGAUCCUAUUUUGUUAGUUUCUAGGAUUGACGUAAUGAUUAAUAGGGAUAGUUGGGGGCAUUAGUAUUCAAUUGUCAGAGGUGAAAUUCUUGGAUUUAUUGAAGACUAACUACUGCGAAAGCAUUUGCCAAGGAUGUUUUCAUUAAUCAAGAACGAAAGUUAGGGGAUCGAAGACGAUCAGAUACCGUCGUAGU
rnacentral:rRNA from 1 species